ensembl:lncRNA
GUGGAUUACAGCACAAUCGAACGACCUCAUCUUAUGCAACAAAGCCCAUCUCAAUGAAUGACUACGCGGGGGGUGGUUUCGCUGUACUGGCCUUGACACGCGCGGCUCUCUCCUCGGUCACCUCUGUCACCGGGUCAGAUUUAUUGUAGCAACGGGCCUUAGUAACGCCCAGGAGUCCCUGGCGACAUGUGCCUUGUUCUCUCUCUCUGAAGGAAUGCGUCCGCAUCGCACGUUUCCUUUUCAUCGGAUUCCCUUGAAAGUAUUUUAUUAGGCAUCAUAAAUACCCUUUGUUCAUUAAACAAGUCAACAUGGGAUGUGGAACCUCAACAUCGACGGCGGUUGUACCAAUAGACUGUGAUGAGUUGACGAAAGAGGAUGAGACGGGGAGGCUUGGGUCUCGCGGGGACUCGGCGGUCUCCAAGGUGACGGCAGACAGCGGGGUGGUGGUGGAGAGCUCACUGGACCCCACGCUGCCUGGAGCGAUGCCCAGGAAAAUCCCUCCUCUGACGGGGGGUCUUCUCCAGGGCCGCGGCUCCCCUGGGGAGCGACCCCGCUCCAGUGAGAUCCUGGAGCAGCUGCUGAGCCAGGGCAUCAUCCCAGUAGGACCGCCGCGGGAGGGGGGCUCUGCCGCGGGGGGGGCCUACGACAUCACGCUGGAGGAUGGAGAGGUACCCAGGCAGAGACCUCCAGCCAGACUGGUGGCUCUGAAGAUCUCCCCCAGCAGAGACUCCAUCAACCACCAGACGCAGCAGGCCGAGGGGAGACACCAGCCCAAUGAAGAGGACCUCGAGGCUAGACUGAGGACCAAGUCGGCUCGGGUCCGAGCGCCUCCCGCCGUCUUGGCCGACUUCGAAGACCCAGAUCCCCAAGAGGACAAGCCUCUCCAUACAGCCGUCACCACCAUCGGCCCCGACCCCCAGGCCCACACCCAGGUCAGAGAGGCCAGUGAGGGGAGCGUCCGGGGGCCGAGAGAGGGCCCCGGGGAGGGCCGAGAGGAGGGCAGGGAGGAAGAGGACGAGCAGGAUGAGGACGAGGGACGAGACAGCCCAGGGAGGGAUGAGGAGGGGAAGGAGGCCACAGAGGGAGGGAUGUUGAGAGGUUGUGGGGACAGAGAGGUGGGCGAUGGUGGACCGGUCCAGGAUGCGGGGCUCCGGGUGGGACAGCUCCACACAGCAUCGGGGGACUUUGAGAGCGACCCCUCCUUCCAGAAUACAGACGACACGUUUUAACACCCGACAACUGAGUGUGUGUGUGUGUGGGUGUGUGGGGUGGGUGUGUGGGUAUGUCUGUGUGUGACUGAGUAAGUGUGUGUGUGUGCUUGGGGAUUGAUUUCAUGCCAUACUAUUUUGGGGAAUUCCGAAACCCUCGAGAGGUUAAACGCCAUCUUAAGCAGAGCAAUCACGUAACAAUAAAAUGCUCACACAGUCACUGCUACAAGACCAAAACAAUCAAUCGAUCAAUCAAUCAAUCAAUCGAUCAAUCGAUCAAUCGAUCAAUCAAUCAAUCAAUCAAUCAAUCAAUCAAUCAAUCAAUCAAUCAAUCAAUCAAUCAAUCAAUCAAUCAAUCAAGGCUACCAGUCACUUAAUAAUGGUUCUCACAGAAAGUUGAGUUGGUAACAAUAUUUUUGAUUUCAUAACUAAAAUUGCGUGUUUACUUUCUCAAAUAGAAUAGAAAAUACCACAAUAUUGGUCACCCAUUUACAGUCCUACGUUGUACCACCAGAGGGUGCUCAACACACCAGUGGGGGCACUUAUGGCCAACUUUAUGUAUCACAAAUGGAUGGGCGUACAGCAUUUUUCCUGGCAUGCCAGUCUAUGAGGGGUGAGUAAUUAAUUGGUGAAUUACUAUUUUUCUAAACAUUGGUUAAACAGGAAACACGCAAUUUUUAAUCACAACUUUGGAGGAGCAGUAGAACCAAAUCAGUUGUACUGUCUUUGUGUAUUUUAACCUUUAGAUGGCGGCAAUCUCCCAAAAGUAGUCUAUGGCGUUGUUCCUCUUAAAGCAAGCCAUUACAGUGGAGAGUUACUACGGCCAAUUAGAAUAAACCUGUUAACCUGUCAAACAAUACGACUCCAGCAUAAACGUAGCUAAUGGGGAUAUUGGGAACCUUUUUUAUGUUUUAAGUGAAAGUCGGGCAGGAUUAUAAUAUAUUACCUCACUAUACUACCAAUAAAUUACCAAAAAUGAAUGUUCUAUUCUAUUAAAUUAUUCUAUUAUAUUAUAGCCUAGUUAUAAGAUAAACAUAAUUAAUUUGUUUGUGUUUGUUUUUGUUUUCCGAGGGGGCGCAGUUCUCUUAUUGGACACAAGAUGGUGCGGUUUCAAUUGAAGGGUUAUCGAUGCUUUACUUGUUGUAUUACGCCUCUAUUGAAAGCUGUUCAAUAUGUUUUUAUUUAGUUGGGACUAGAAGACAAAUUGUACAGUUUAUUCUUUAUCAAUAAAGCUCC